rnacentral:SRP_RNA from 1 species
CGCACUAAGCGGGGAGUUAGCGGUGCCCUGUACUCGAAAUCCGCUAUAGCGAGGCUGAAUCCUCUGUCGAGGAACGAAGUACUUAGUGACGGAGCCUGUAAGUGGCGUUGAGAGAUGGACCCUGUGCAACAUGACACCUUGAACCUUGUCAGGUCCUAGCGGAAGCAGCAAUAAGAGGUUUGGCAUGUGUGCCGCAGUUUAGUCUGUUUUGAGUCGGCUGCAGGAAUUCCUGCUGAGGCUUCCUUUCG